rnacentral:rRNA from 1 species
GACGAACGCUGGCGGCGUGCCUAAUACAUGCAAGUUGAGCGCUGAAGGUUGGUACUUGUACCAACUGGAUGAGCAGCGAACGGGUGAGUAACGCGUGGGGAAUCUGCCUUUGAGCGGGGGACAACAUUUGGAAACGAAUGCUAAUACCGCAUAAAAACUUUAAACACAAGUUUUAAGUUUGAAAGAUGCAAUUGCAUCACUCAAAGAUUAUCCCGCGUUGUAUUAGCUAGUUGGUGAGGUAAAGGCUCACCAAGGCGAUGAUACAUAGCCGACCUGAGAGGGUGAUCGGCCACAUUGGGACUGGGACACGGCCCAAACUCCUACGGGAGGCAGCAGUAGGGAAUCUUCGGCAAUGGACGAAAGUCUGACCGAGCAACGCCGCGUGAGUGAAGAAGGUUUUCGGAUCGUAAAACUCUGUUGGUAGAGAAGAACGUUGGUGAGAGUGGAAAGCUCAUCAAGUGACGGUAACUACCCAGAAAGGGACGGCUAACUACGUG